CCUACGGGUGGCAGCAGUGGGGAAUAUUGCACAAUGGGGGAAACCCUGAUGCAGCGACGCCGCGUGAGUGAAGAAGUAUUUCGGUAUGUAAAGCUCUAUCAGCAGGGAAGAAAAUGACGGUACCUGAUUAAGAAGCCCCGGCUAACUACGUGCCAGCAGCCGCGGUAAGACGUAGGGGGCAAGCGUUAUCCGGAUUUACUGGGUGUAAAGGGGGCGUAGGCGGCAGCGCAAGUCUGAAGUGAAAUGCCGGGGCUUAACCCCGGAACUGCGUUGGAAACUGUGCAGCUAGAGUGCAGGCGAGGUAAGUGGAAUUCCUAGUGUAGCGGUGAAAUGCGUAGAUAUUAGGAGGAACACCAGUGGCGAAGGCGGCUUACUGGACUGUAACUGACGUUGAGGCUCGAAAGCGUGGGGAGCAAACAGGAUUAGAUACCCCUGUAGUC
rnacentral:rRNA from 1 species